UACGAAGGGGGCGAGCGUUGUUCGGAAUUACUGGGCGUAAAGCGCGCGCAGGUGGUCUUUCAAGUCAGUGGUGAAAGCCCGGAGCUCAACUCCGGAAAUGCCAUUGAAACUGUAAGACUUGAGGAUGAGAGAGGUGAGUGGAAUUCCCAGUGUAGAGGUGAAAUUCGUAGAUAUUGGGAAGAACACCGGUGGCGAAGGCGGCUCACUGGCUCAUAUCUGACGCUCAGGCGCGACAGCGUGGGGAUCAAACAGG
rnacentral:rRNA from 1 species